ensembl:snRNA U2 U2 spliceosomal RNA
AUCGCUUCUCAGUCUUUUGGCUAAGACCAAAUGUAGUUUCUGUUCUUAUCAGAUAUUGGUAUCUGCAGGCACUCCUGGAACCAAUCCCCC